rnacentral:rRNA from 1 species
AGUGAAAGGGGAAAAGCCCAGCGCUGAAUCCAUCGAUCACUGGUCGCUUGGAAUUGUAGCGUAUAGGUGCGGCUAUCCGCUCGUUUCGUGCACCCAAAGUCCCCUUGAGCGGGGCCAUAGUCCAAAGAAGGUGCUAGACCUGUACGGGUGGCGAGGCGGUCGGUUGGUCGCUCCUUGGAGUCGGGUUGCCUGGGAUCGCAGCCCAAAGUUGGUGGUAGACCUCAUCUAAGGCUAAAUAUGGCCACGAAACCGAUAGCAAACAAGUACCGUGAGGGAAAGUUGCAAAGAACUUUGAAGAGAGAGUUCAAGAGGGCGUGAAACCGCCGAGAUUGAAACGGAUAGAGUUGACGAAACUCGAUCGCAUUCAUCCGAUCCGCCUAGCGGUUCGGCGGUUGUUGACUUCCUCGAUGAGGGCAGCGCCGUCGCUGGCUGUUGGGUGUUAGAUCGGUGUAUUUGCGGUCGGUAUGCGCCGAGAGCUUUGCGAACGCAUGUUGACGUUAGUGUAGUGGACCACUCCCUCCGGGCGUGGAACCCUGCGCUGAUUGAGGCAUGUCGUUGGUAGGGUGUUGCUGGUGACGUCUCCGCUAUGGUGCGUCGGCCUUGUCGGGCUGUUGCGGCUGCUGGGUGAUCGCAUGCGAGCGCCUGUAGUUUGCGAUGGUACGGUGAGGUGCGGACGCGCUUGGGACGUGCAUCUCGGUGUGAACGUUGACCACCUAUCCGACC